AAAAAAUAUAGAGAGAGAAGAAUCAACCCAAGGCAAAAGAAUCCAAAAAGUUGUAUGGAAUGCAGCUGCUGAGAAAAAGUUAAAAAAAUGGCUCAUAUUUGCUUUUGAAUGGCUUUUCAUAUAUUCUUUAUGUUUUGUCAUGAAUUUAAAAGUAAACUAAGUUACUAUUGCAAAUAUUCCAUUGUUUUGGAGAUUUGCACAUCAUACAUUUAAUAUAACAAGAAAGCAUAUGUUGGUUAAGAAUUUAUGUGGCUUGAGAGAGGUGGAUCUAUUUUAUCACUGUUAUUGAGUAACAGUGCAACAUGUUAUCAAUUUACUUUUUCACAACUGAGUUUGUCAAACUAUAUUUUCAUUUGUGAGACUUGUCGGAUGCAACAAAACUUAAUAAUGAGAAUUGUGGAUAAACUAAAUAAAUCCAAUUUUGAGAAAAAUAAUCUUAUUGCCUUUGGUACCUGCUACAACAUUGAGAUGAAACUUGCAAGCCAAAUUGGUGGUUUAUUACUAGAAAUGUUUUUACAUUCUCUGAAAUCUCACUUGGGAAUUUGGGACUCCCAUGUUUGGCUGAAGAUUUAGAAGAAAAAAACCGGUCAAAAUGAAAAUAACAUAUCCAGGAAUUUGAAAAUGUGAAGGUGGGAAUGUUGGAUUCUCACCUCUUUAGAUGAGAAUGUUAGUUUUUGGUGUUAAUUGAUUUUGUAUCCUUCUCUUUCCAUUCUCUUAUUGUUUUUUAACCGAGGGUAGUUUUUAACAGUCAGUCACAUUCAUACGAACGUUUAAUAUCUAACCAAAUAUGAGCCAAAUACGGGAAUGUAUCUUACCCCGGGCAUUACAUCUCUUGACCAGUAGUCACUUUCUUGGGGAUGUGCUAAAAAAGCAUUCCUUAUACCAAACAGUAAACAUCACCAUAGAGCAUGUGGUGAGCUCAGAACUGGUAUCAGGAUUUAAUAUUGAGGUCUAGUCCUUAUUUUGCAGACUAAAAUUCUUCUUGGUGAUUUUGGUGCUAACAUGAUCAAAAUAUCUUCCCGCGAAUGCUAACUAACUUAAAAAGAAAGAGUCCUUCAGUGAUUGAAUUAUCUAAUAGACAUUAAACUAUAAUUAGUAUGAUUGCAUUUUUAAUUACAAUACCUGGGCUAGUAGUGCAUGAUUUCUUGCAAACAAUUUGCUGUAAUUCUAAAGUUAUUCAAAUUCUGAUGGAUGCAAUCUGUAUCACGAGUUUAAACUUCGAUUCUGAUUCUAGAAUCCCAGCAGAAAAUGAUAUUGUCGUGGAUAUAAAUUCUGGUCACAUCAGUGCUGUAUAAAACCAAUGCUUUUGCAUUUGUGAGUUGUUUUGCAGAUUCUAGCUACUCAUAGAUGAUUAUCCUGUUUUUAACAUUAGUUGAAGUGAAAAUGAAGUACAGUUGUUGAUAUUUGAUAGAUCUCACUUUUUGAAAAUCCACAGAAAAUGUGUUUUUGCAAUUUUAUUCUGCAGCCCACUGGCUAUCACGAAUCGUUUUUUCUUGUAUGAUGAUGGAAUCGAAAGGUUUGAACAAUUUUAUUGAAUUCAGAAAUGAUAGAACUGUAAGAAAUUUUCACCAAACAAAUGGCUAACUCCCUACCAAGCUAUGCUGCUCAGAAAUAUAUAUGCCCAUAGCUAGAAGCAGAGAGGAAUAAGCAAUGUUGUGAAAUCUCUUUUUUAUUAAAAUAGGUGAUGAUGAAAGGGGUAUUAAAUUUUACAUUUACUAACCAACCACUCCUUUCAUCUCUACUCUCCGGUGUAUUAAAUUUUACAUUUACUAA
rnacentral:lncRNA from 1 species